AUUGAACGCUGGCGGCAUGCCUUACACAUGCAAGUCGAACGGUAACGGGCCUUCGGGUGCCGACGAGUGGCGCACGGGUGAGUAAUACAUCGGAACGUGCCCGAUCGUGGGGGAUAACGAGGCGAAAGCUUUGCUAAUACCGCAUACGAUCUACGGAUGAAAGCAGGGGACCGCAAGGCCUUGCGCGGACGGAGCGGCCGAUGGCAGAUUAGGUAGUUGGUGGGAUAAAAGCUUACCAAGCCGACGAUCUGUAGCUGGUCUGAGAGGAUGAUCAGCCACACUGGGACUGAGACACGGCCCAGACUCCUACGGGAGGCAGCAGUGGGGAAUUUUGGACAAUGGGCGCAAGCCUGAUCCAGCCAUGCCGCGUGCAGGAUGAAGGCCUUCGGGUUGUAAACUGCUUUUGUACGGAACGAAAAGCCUUCUUUUAAUACAGGAGUGUCAUGACGGUACCGUAAGAAUAAGCACCGGCUAACUACGUG
rnacentral:rRNA from 1 species